rnacentral:rRNA from 1 species
UGGGGAAUAUUGGACAAUGGGGGCAACCCUGAUCCAGCAAUGCCGCGUGCGUGAAGAAGGCCUUAGGGUUGUAAAGCGCUUUCACCUGCGAGGAUGAUGACCGUAGCAGGAGAAGAAGCCCCGGCUAACUCCGUGCCAGCAGCCGCGGUAAUACGGAGGGGGCUAGCGUUGUUCGGAAUCACUGGGCGUAAAGGGCGUGUAGGCGGUGGGUCAAGUCAGGCGUGAAAGCCCCGGGCUCAACCUGGGAGGUGCGCUUGAUACUGGCUUGCUUGAGUCCGGGAGAGGCGAGUGGAAUAUCCAGUGUAGAGGUGAAAUUCGUAGAUAUUGGAUGGAACACCCGUGGCGAAGGCGGCUCGCUGGACCGGCACUGACGCUGAGGCGCGAAAGCGUGGGGAGCAAACAGGAUUAGAUACCCCCGUAGUCC